CAAAUUUUGAGUCCACAGUGAAACAGGAAAUGCGGGUGUGCACCUUGACAGGUCUUGAGGUAAGUCAGUGACUAUUUAGCAUGUAAAUUACAUG